rnacentral:rRNA from 1 species
UACGGAGGGAGCGAGCGUUGUCCGAAGUUACUGGGCGUAAAGCGCGCGUAGGCGGGCAAUUAAGUGAGAAGUGAAAGGCUGGGGCUCAACCCCAUGCAGUGCUCCUCAUACUGGUUUUCUUGAGGGUGGUAGAGAGAAGUGGAAUGGCUGGUGUAGCGGUGAAAUGCGUAGAUAUCAGUCGGAACACCAGUGGCGAAGGCGGCUUCUUGGGCCAUUACUGACGCUGAGGCGCGAAAGCCAGGGGAGCGAACGGG